rnacentral:rRNA from 1 species
AACGAACGCUGGCGGCAUGCCUAACACAUGCAAGUCGAACGAGACCUUCGGGUCUAGUGGCGCAAGGGUGCGUAACGCGUGGGAACCUGCCCUUAGGUUCGGAAUAACUCCCCGAAAGGGGUGCUAAUACCGGAUAAUGUCUUCGGACCAAAGAUUUAUCGCCUUGGGAUGGGCCCGCGUUGGAUUGGCUAGUUGGUAGGGUAAAAGCCUACAAAGGCGACGAUCCAUAGCUGGUCUGAGAGGAUGAUCAGCCACACUGGGACUGAGACACGGCCCAGACUCCUACGGGAGGCAGCAGUGGGGAAUAUUGGACAAUGGGCGAAAGCCUGAUCCAGCAAUGCCGCGUGAGUGAUGAAGGCCUUAGGGUUGUAAAGCUCUUUUACCCGGGAUGAUAAUGACAGUACCGGGAGAAUAAGCGCCGGCUAACUCCGUG